rnacentral:rRNA from 1 species
UAGGGAAUAUUGCGCAAUGGAGGAAACUCUGACGCAGCGACGCCGCGUGGGUGACGAAGGUUUUCGGAUCGUAAAGCCCUGUCGGAAGGAAAGAAAAACGGUUUGAAUAACACCCAAGCCGCUUGACGGUACCUUCAGAGGAAGCACCGGCUAACUACGUGCCAGCAGCCGCGGUAAUACGUAGGGUGCUAGCGUUGUUCGGAAUCCUUGGGCGUAAAGCGCGUGUAGGUGGUUAGUUAAGUCGAUUGU